GGAGCCUGACGAGACGGUGAAGGUGCUAAAGGAGAAGAUAGAAGCUGAGAAGGGUCGUGAUGCCUUCCCCGUGGCUGGACAGAAACUCAUCUAUGCCGGCAAGAUCUUGAGUGACGAUGUCCCUAUCAGGGACUAUCGCAUCGAUGAGAAGAACUUUGUGGUCGUCAUGGUGACCAAGACCAAAGCCGGCCAGGGUACCUCAGCACCCCCAGAGGCCUCACCCACAGCUGCCCCAGAGUCCUCUACAUCCUUCCCGCCUGCCCCCACCUCAGGCAUGUCCCAUCCCCCACCUGCCGCCAGAGAGGACAAGAGCCCAUCAGAGGAAUCCGCCCCCACGACGUCCCCAGAGUCUGUGUCAGGCUCUGUUCCCUCUUCAGGUAGCAGCGGGCGAGAGGAAGACGCGGCCUCCACGCUAGUGACGGGCUCUGAGUAUGAGACGAUGCUGACGGAGAUCAUGUCCAUGGGCUAUGAGCGAGAGCGGGUCGUGGCCGCCCUGAGAGCCAGCUACAACAACCCCCACCGAGCCGUGGAGUAUCUGCUCACGGGAAUUCCUGGGAGCCCCGAGCCAGAACACGGUUCUGUCCAGGAGAGCCAGGUAUCGGAGCAGCCGGCCACGGAAGCAGGAGAGAACCCCCUGGAGUUCCUGCGGGACCAGCCCCAGUUCCAGAACAUGCGGCAGGUGAUUCAGCAGAACCCUGCGCUGCUGCCCGCCCUGCUCCAGCAGCUGGGCCAGGAGAACCCUCAGCUUUUACAGGUCUGGAAAGCAGGACUAAGCACAUGCUUCCCCCACGCCCCUGUGCUUCCCGUGACCUGGUGACCCCCAUGGUUUCUC
rnacentral:sRNA from 1 species